rnacentral:rRNA from 1 species
GUGUCAGCCGCCGCGGUAAUACGUAGGCAGCGAGCGUUGUUCGGAGUUACUGGGCGUAAAGAGUGCGUAGGCGGUGUUCCAAGUCUGGUGUGAAAUCUCCCGGCUCAACUGGGAGGGUGCGCCGGAAACUGGGAUGCUGGAGUAUGGGAGAGGUAAGCGGAAUUCCUGGUGUAGCGGUGAAAUGCGUAGAUAUCAGGAGGAACACCUGCGGUGUAGACGGCUUACUGGACCAUGACUGACGCUGAGGCACGAAAGCGUGGGGAGCAAACAGGAUUAGAUACCCUGGUAGUCCACGCCCUAAACGAUGCAUACUUGGUGUGGGCAGUUCAGUCUGUCCGUGCCGUAGCUAACGCGUUAAGUAUGCCGCCUGGGGAGUACGGUCGCAAGGCUGAA